UACGAAGGGUGCAAGCGUUACUCGGAAUUACUGGGCGUAAAGGGUGCGUAGGUGGUUUUUUAAGUCCGUUGUGAAAUCCCUGGGCUCAACCUGGGAAUGGCAGUGGAUACUGGAAAGCUAGAGUGCGGUAGAGGGUAGUGGAAUUCCCGGUGUAGCAGUGAAAUGCGUAGAUAUGCGGAGGAACACCGAUGGCGAAGGCAAUCCCCUGGACCUGUACUGACGCUCAUGCACGAAAGCGUGGGGAGCAAACAGG
rnacentral:rRNA from 1 species